UACGAAGGGGGGCUAGCGUUGCUCGGAAUCACUGGGCGUAAAGGGUGCGUAGGCGGGUCUUUAAGUCAGGGGUGAAAUCCUGGAGCUCAACUCCAGAACUGCCCUUUGAUACUGAGGAUCUUGAGUUCGGGAGAGGUGAGUGGAACUGCGAGUGUAGAGGUGAAAUUCGUAGAUAUCUGGAGGAACACCGGUGGCGAAGGCGGCAUCCUGGACCGACACUGACGCUGAGGAGCGAAAGCCAGGGGAGCAAAGCGGGGAU
rnacentral:rRNA from 1 species